rnacentral:lncRNA from 1 species
GGCAAACACCGAGCUCCCCCUGAGCCGCCUGGGAGCAGGGAGGGUUCUGCUACCCUGAGGGGCCCUCCCCGCGGGGCAGAGGGGACCAGCCCAACAUGGCUUCCAACACAGAGACCAGAAGGACCCAAUAAGAGACCGAAGACACGACUGAUAAUACAGAAAGGAGGGUGAUGCUGUGUGCAAGGCAGAUACAAGAUGGUUUUUCCAUAAGAGGAAGUGAUCAUGGCAACCAUGACCUUCUCUGACCUUCUCUCUUCCAAGAGGCUGUUGGGAAGGUGGGAUGACCUAGGAUUGACCUUGGACUUGACAUCACAGAAGCCAUUUCAACCUUCACAGGGUUUCCUCAGCAGUGCCCCGGAGCAGGGACCGCGCCAGCCAGCAGAAACAGCUAGUUGUUGUCUGCAGUGAAGAAUAAUUGGAAGCAUGGUGCCUGUUUCUUUUCCUAGGAGUGUUCCACUGACUGACCUCUUUUUGUUUUCAAAUGAAGAGGAGCCAAGAAUAGGACAGCUUGGGAAGGUGAGCUGCGUAUAGCUCGUCAGGCUGAGCUCAUCCUCGUCUACGGCCAAACGUUGGUUUCUCAUUUCUAGAAGAUGAAAGAUGUGAUGACUCAGGAAAAACUUGCUGCUCGAGAUGUGAGUCUUCAGAUGUUCCUGCCGCCAUAUCUGACAGCUGCUGCCAAGAUUCCCUGGUGGGAUGGACUCUUAUACCUCAACAACCAGAAGCCCAAGUAAACUCUUCUAUAAAUUGAAUGACUCAUGCUUAAAAAAAAAAACAAAAAA